rnacentral:rRNA from 1 species
AAUUCGAUGCAAACCGAAGAACCUUACCUGGGUUUGACAUACAGGUGGUAGAGCGAAGAGAUUCAAUCGACUCUGCAGUAAUGCAGAGAGCCUGCACAGGUGCUGCAUGGCUGUCGUCAGCUCGUGUCGUGAGAUGUUGGGUUAAGUCCCGCAACGAGCGCAACCCUUAUUGCCAGUUGCUAACAGGAGAGCUGAGCACUCUGGCGAGACUGCCGCCGACAAGGCGGAGGAAGGUGGGGAUGACGUCAAGUCAUCAUGGCCUUUAUGCCCAGGGCUACACACGUGCUACAAUGGCCGGCACAGACGGCAGCUUAGUGGCGACACUUGGCAAAUCCUCUAAAGCCGGUCCCAGUUCGGAUUGCAGUCUGCAACUCGACUGCAUGAAGCCGGAAUCGCUAGUAAUCGCAGAUCAGCCAAGCUGCGGUGAAUACGUUCCCGGGCCUU